AUGCAUCUCUUGCCCGCUGACGUGGGAUCGAGUUCGCGCCACGCCCCAAGCCCACAAUCCUCUGCGAUGAGACGCCGUGGGACGCGACCGCGACCACCAUCCUCCUCGCUCGCGCUGCUGCCGAAUCACAAGCUCGUCAUGGUCCUCUUCCCCCUCAAGCACAUCCGCCGGCAUCAUGGUGCGCCGCUUCGACCUCCCGUCCCGACUGCUGCCGCGCACAUCUUCUGCAAGGUCUGCCAUGCCUUCACCGACCGCCGGAGAUGUCACUACCCUCCGCAUCGACCAGGUUCAAGAUGCAUAGGAACAUUUUCAGAGGAUGGUAGGUGGUGUUCAUGGCAGCACCAUCGUGGUCAUCUUUCUACACCUCUACCUCCACUGCCCCUCUUUGGUCCUGCUGCGAGCUGCAAGAGCAGGAAGACACAGAAGUUGGAGUGCUAG
rnacentral:rRNA from 1 species